GCUCAGGACGAACGCUGGCGGCGUGCCUAAUACAUGCAAGUCGAACGCUUCUUUUUCCACCGGAGCUUGCUCCACCGGAAAAAGAGGAGUGGCGAACGGGUGAGUAACACGUGGGUAACCUGCCCAUCAGAAGGGGAUAACACUUGGAAACAGGUGCUAAUACCGUAUAACAAUCAAAACCGCAUGGUUUUGAUUUGAAAGGCGCUUUCGGGUGUCGCUGAUGGAUGGACCCGCGGUGCAUUAGCUAGUUGGUGAGGUAACGGCUCACCAAGGCCACGAUGCAUAGCCGACCUGAGAGGGUGAUCGGCCACAUUGGGACUGAGACACGGCCCAAACUCCUACGGGAGGCAGCAGUAGGGAAUCUUCGGCAAUGGACGAAAGUCUGACCGAGCAACGCCGCGUGAGUGAAGAAGGUUUUCGGAUCGUAAAACUCUGUUGUUAGAGAAGAACAAGGAUGAGAGUAACUGUUCAUCCCUUGACGGUAUCUAACCAGAAAGCCACGGCUAACUACGUGCCAGCAGCCGGGGGUAAAUA
rnacentral:rRNA from 1 species